rnacentral:piRNA from 1 species
UGCCCCUGCCAGUGGAUUUCCCUCUACU